UACGUAGGGUGCGAGCGUUAUCCGGAAUUAUUGGGCGUAAAGAGCUCGUAGGCGGUUUGUCGCGUCUGCCGUGAAAGUCCGGGGCUCAACUCCGGAUCUGCGGUGGGUACGGGCAGACUAGAGUGUGGUAGGGGAGACUGGAAUUCCUGGUGUAGCGGUGAAAUGCGCAGAUAUCAGGAGGAACACCGAUGGCGAAGGCAGGUCUCUGGGCCACUACUGACGCUGAGAAGCGAAAGCAUGGGGAGCGAACAGG
rnacentral:rRNA from 1 species